AAAUAUCUUCGUUAGGUGAGGCUCCUGUAUGAACACAGGCCACUGCCCGGAAAUGUCGAGAGACGCCAAUGGGUAUAACAGGUAUUACCGGAUUAAGGUUUUACAUAAUGUGGCUGAAUUUUAUUCUACGUUAUACAGUGCCAAAGCUCAGACGAGUGGAGGGAAGU
rnacentral:sRNA from 1 species